rnacentral:piRNA from 1 species
GAGUUGGAAUAGGAGCUUGCUCC